rnacentral:tRNA from 1 species
GGCUGCGUAGCUCAACUGGAUAGAGUACCUGACUACGAAUCAGGCGGUUGCAGGUUCGAAUCCUGCCGCGGUCA